UUAUUAUUAGUAUCAAGCUUAUGGAUGUCAGAGUAAGGAUAAUCGAUCGAGAAAUUGGACUUGGAGCUCAAGAAGAACGAUCCAUCAGACGGGAAAUAUAAAACUACGGUUGAGGUACUGCGGGGAUCGAUGGAAACGAGUAGAGGCAAGGAAUUUUACUUUAAUAAUAUUCACCUAGUUUAUGCUUAAAGUUAUAAUAGUUUAAUUAAAGACUUUUUAGUAAGUUAUGUACUUUUAUUUUGAGAAUAUAAAGGAUUAUUAUAUUAAAUUGGAGGUUUUUAUGGCUUAUGUAUGAUGUUGCCUUGUAAUUUCCAAGAGGGAAUUACGGCAGGUAAUGUCCCGACCAAAUUAGGUUAAUUCCGCUGCUAAAUAUGCUUUAAUAAGUGAUUUAGAGGUCGGGGCGUUACAUUUCCACUCAUUCUUGGAUUUUUCUUUGUUUUUCCUGUUUUCUAUUUUUAUGAUGAUGCACAGGUUCGAUUAAGGAGCUCAAGUUGCUCAAAUGAGAGUUAUUACUGGAGUUGGUUAUUUAUUAUGGAGAUAUCGAGAUGAGAAAUUAUUUAUUAUGGAAAUUUUGUUACUGAGGUCCCAGGAUUAAUUAUGCUUAAUUCCGCUGCUAAUGAUGAGCUAAGUGCGAUAUAUUAUCGCUAAUUAAGGAGCCGAAAAGCCGAGGCGUUACAGUUACGAACUGACCCAUCAAAAUUAAUUUUCACAAUACCAGAGGUUGGAGGUGUCCAAACAACUUGCGUGGUACGAGGAGACUUUGAAAGAGAAUUAUUAUUAACGUUAACAUCCAAUGAAACAAGAUGUGUACUCUACUGCAUAUUUGCACCGAUGAGACAGGAGAUUGUCUGAAAAUGUGAGCAUUACGUGUUUUCCAAAUACUCCAAAUAGAAGUUAUGGUUUUUUUAGCCGGUAAGGUCACAUUGUUACGGAGUUCACGAAAAGAGUAAGAACAGAAGAAGAUCGAACAUGAGUGCUAAGUCAUCGAACUGAGGCGUUUGCAUCCCAAUAUUCUCUAACAAACGGACAAUGAAAACAUAAAUGUUCUUGCGUUUCUCUUGGAGUAGCACAAAAAAGGCAACUAUUAUUAAUGUUUAAUGACGAUAUGAUGAGUUAUCUCGGGUAGGGAGGACGUUAUGCAAUAAUUGCCAAACAAAAAUUUUUAACUUUGGAGCAAUAUCUAGCUUCCAUAUCCAAGAAAAUUCCCACUUGGUAGGGGAAUACAAAUUAUGUGCUAGCCAUGUAGCAGAUUUAACUGUAAAAGCACCAUUACUAGAAAAACCCCAACAAGGUUCAUCUGGUAAAUCAGUUACUGGUAUAGGGA